GAUCCUGGCUCAGGAUGAACGCUAGCUACAGGCUUAACACAUGCAAGUCGAGGGGCAGCAUGACCUAGCAAUAGGUUGAUGGCGACCGGCGCACGGGUGAGUAACACGUAUCCAACCUGCCGAUAAUUCGGGGAUAGCCUUUCGAAAGAAAGAUUAAUAUCCGAUGGUAUAUUAAAACCGCAUGGUUUUACUAUUAAAGAAUUUCGGUUAUCGAUGGGGAUGCGUUCCAUUAGUUUGUUGGCGGGGUAACGG
rnacentral:rRNA from 1 species